rnacentral:rRNA from 1 species
UGGGGAAUCUUGCACAAUGGGCGCAAGCCUGAUGCAGCCAUGCCGCGUGUGUGAAGAAGGCCUUCGGGUUGUAAAGCACUUUCAGCGGGGAGGAAGGCGUUAAGGUUAAUAACCUUGGCGAUUGACGUUACCCGCAGAAGAAGCACCGGCUAACUCCGUGCCAGCAGCCGCGGUAAUACGUAGGUGGCAAGCGUUGUCCGGAUUUAUUGGGCGUAAAGCGAGCGCAGGCGGUUUCUUAAGUCUGAUGUGAAAGCCCCCGGCUCAACCGGGGAGGGUCAUUGGAAACUGGGAGACUUGAGUGCAGAAGAGGAGAGUGGAAUUCCAUGUGUAGCGGUGAAAUGCGUAGAGAUCUGGAGGAAUACCGGUGGCGAAGGCGGCCCCCUGGACGAAGACUGACGCUCAGGUGCGAAAGCGUGGGGAGCAAACAGG